GGCGCUGCCGCGAUCCUGAGCAUUGUACUGGGUUCUCUUGCCGGAGGACUGAUCGGCGGAGUCUGCGCAUGGUUAUUCGCAAGGAAAAUUGGCGGGGCGCAAGGCACAAUGCACAAGAUGGAAACUCCACUUACACGGGACUGGUUCUGGGGGAUCGAUCUGUUUACAGUGAUCUGAAGAGGUAAGUGAGCAGAACACGAGGCUGUCGAUGAAAAAUGUGACUUGCAAAGGGUACAUGUCCAUUAUUGCCAAGCCGAUGAGUUGAGCAGAGCCCCGGCUGUGCAUGCUGCCAAG